UUCUAGCUUGCUAGAAGAUGACGAGCGGCGGACGGGUGAGUAAUACUUAGGAAUCUACCUAGUAGUGGGGGAUAGCACGGGGAAACUCGUAUUAAUACCGCAUACGACCUACGGGAGAAAGGGGGCAGUUUACUGCUCUCGCUAUUAGAUGAGCCUAAGUCGGAUUAGCUAGAUGGUGGGGUAAAGGCCUACCAUGGCGACGAUCUGUAGCUGGUCUGAGAGGAUGAUCAGCCACACCGGAACUGAGACACGGUCCGGACUCCUACGGGAGGCAGCAGUGGGGAAUAUUGGACAAUGGGGGCAACCCUGAUCCAGCCAUGCCGCGUGUGUGAAGAAGGCCUUUUGGUUGUAAAGCACUUUAAGCAGUGAAGAAGACUCUUCGGUUAAUACCCGGAGACGAUGACAUUAGCUGCAGAAUAAGCACCGGCUAACUCUGUGCCAGCAGCCGCGGUAAUACAGAGGGUGCAAGCGUUAAUCGGAAUUACUGGGCGUAAAGCGAGCGUAGGUGGCUUGAUAAGUCAGAUGUGAAAUCCCCGGGCUUAACCUGGGAACUGCAUCUGAUACUGUUAGGCUAGAGUAGGUGAGAGGAAGGUAGAAUUCCAGGUGUAGCGGUGAAAUGCGUAGAGAUCUGGAGGAAUACCGAUGGCGAAGGCAGCCUUCUGGCAUCAUACUGACACUGAGGCUCGAAAGCGUGGGUAGCAAACAGGAUU
rnacentral:rRNA from 1 species